AUUGAACGCUGGCGGCAGGCUUCACACAUGCAAGUCGAGCGGAGAUGAGGUGCUUGCACCUUAUCUUAGCGGCGGACGGGUGAGUAAUGCUUAGGAAUCUGCCUAUUAGUGGGGGACAACAUUCCGAAAGGAAUGCUAAUACCGCAUACGCCCUACGGGGGAAAGCAGGGGAUCUUCGGACCUUGCGCUAAUAGAUGAGCCUAAGUCGGAUUAGCUAGUUGGUGGGGUAAAGGCCUACCAAGGCGACGAUCUGUAGCGGGUCUGAGAGGAUGAUCCGCCACACUGGGACUGAGACACGGCCCAGACUCCUACGGGAGGCAGCAGUGGUGAAUAUUGGACAAUGGGCGGAAGCCUGAUCCAGCCAUGCCGCGUGUGUGGAGAAGGCCUUUUGGUUGUAAAGCACUUUAAGCGAGGAGGAGGCUACCUGGAUUAAUACUCUAGGAUAGUGGACGUUACUCGCAGAAUAAGCACCGGCUAACUCUGUGCCAGCCGCCGCCGUAAGAC
rnacentral:rRNA from 1 species